ensembl:lncRNA
CCCCCUAAACAAGACCGUGAGGAACGCCUAGAGCACUGCAGCACCAGUAAAAGAGUGAGAGAGACGCUGUGGUGGACAGACGGCACGAGUACAGAUGAACAGGAACUAAGUGGGUCUCUGAGGUCGCGUACAGCUGCGGUGGAGCGAUGUGUCAUGAAGGCUGGCCCACCAGAGGCAGGCAAGAGGGAUUAGCCAGAUCAGUCUGUUGCUCCUGUAAAUAAAAGUCUUUUUUUUGUCCUGUUUUUUUUUGCACAGUCCUACUUGUGUUCUACUCUUGUGUGUGUGUGUGUGUGUGUGUGUGUGUGUGUGUGUGUAUGCUCUUAAGAGUCCACCAACAUGUGUUGGGUAUUGGGAUGAAAAAAAAAUUUAAACAAAUAAUUAAAAAUAAAUAAAACUGAUGAAAAAAAAUGACGGUUAGAGAAUGUCCGAUGGUGUGUCACCCAAUGACGUUCAGGGGAAAGAGGGGAUUGAGUGGUAGGCAUUGUGACAUCAUUGUGGGCUGUUGUUUCUUUUUUAUCACCACAAAGUUGUUGUGAGAAUACAUGGACAGAGAGUCACAACUGCGAUCCAACACUGCAUUUAGAUUCGACGUACUGGCCAUUACUGGCAUGUGUGUGUGUGUGACAACUAGACAAAUCUGUGAUUCUUCUCUCGCAUCGCAACAGCAGAUCAGACCUUAGAGGCCUGUGUUGUGCACCCGCAUCUUGCAAAACGUCCUUUAGGAGGGCUGUGGUUUGGUAGUUUUGCCUGUGCUUUUCUUGAGGCGGAGGGCUCCGGGGUCACAUUCUUGUGUUGAGCAGAGGGCAAGUGUGCAAGCUUCAGCAAACAGCGCUACCCGGCAGGCUAACCCACUCACCCAAUUCCUUCCCCCUAAACUCACAAUCACCUCCAGUGGGAAAACAAUGCCCGUCAUGGAGCCCAGGUUAAGCCUUUCCCAAUUUCUGUAAACAAUGAGAAACAAUCAGCUCUCUUGCAGGAUCAAGGGGUGAGUUCACCUGGGGCCAGAGACAGCUAAAGGGGCAGGCUGGGGCGGGAGGUCUUUACCUUGAGUAGCGUCAGUACCCUCGUUGUACCCUUGGUCUGCUAAUAGAAAAGACUAAUAAGAUACUUUAACAAUGGCCACUGGUAGGUGAUGAUGGCUAAUUCAUCCCAAUAAUUACAAUGAAAUUUACAAUUGCCAUGGAAUACUACAGUGUGGAGGCAAACAUGGCAGCUUGUGGUUCCCUGUAUAGGAAUCAGGGCUCUGAUAAGUUCACCAACACACCGAUGAGUGUAUCAGAACUCAAAACAGAGUAUACUGAUACUGUACCAUACUGCACUGAACUGAACUGUACUGUACUGAUGCUUUCAGUCAUUGGCUGCAGUCACUGCAGAGUGACUGACUCAUGAAUAUGAAGCUAUGCAUGUCAAGGAAAUUCACUGAGGACGCCAGGACCAACCAAAUGACACAAGGAGAGAGUGGAGAUUGAGAAUGGAGAACGCAGAUCAAUUCAGAGGGAACGAGAGCAUGGCUGAACUGGGCUGGUUGAGUCUGCAGUCACCUGGCUCAUCUCUUUCUCUGACAUACAAACACCACACACACACACACACACACACACACACACACACACCUACAUACACACACACACACACAC